rnacentral:ncRNA from 1 species
UCAUCAAGUUCAAUGGUGGCGCCGGGGGGAGACCCUCGGACGCGAACCGGGUGAAUUGCGGGAAACCUAACCCCCUCGGGUGGUCCCCCAGGGGUACGGCGAUCCGCAGCCAAGCCUGGCCGGGCUCCGGUGGCCAGGAAGGUUCAGAGACUAGCGGGGUGAGCCCCAACGAUAAUCCCCGCCGCGAGCGCCCGGCCUCCCCCACGCCCUCUCCCGGCACAGGGGCGAGGAUGAGAUAGUCCAAGCCCCGUGGAAACGCGGGG